rnacentral:rRNA from 1 species
GAUGAACGCUGGCGGCGUGCCUAAUACAUGCAAGUCGAGCGAAUGGAUUAAGAGCUUGCUCUUAUGAAGUUAGCGGCGGACGGGUGAGUAACACGUGGGUAACCUGCCCAUAAGACUGGGAUAACUCCGGGAAACCGGGGCUAAUACCGGAUAACAUUUUGAACCGCCUGGAUCGAAAUUAAAAGGCGGCUUCGGCUGUCACUUAUGGCUGGACCCGCGGCGCAUUAGCUAGGUGGUGAGGUAACGGCUCACCAAGGCAACGAUGCGUAGCCGCCCUGAGGGGGUGAUCGGCCACACUGGGACUGAGACACGGCCCAGACUCCUACGGGAGGCAGCAGUAGGGAAUCUUCCGCAAUGGACGAAAGUCUGACGGAGCAACGCCGCGUGAGUGAUGAAGGCUUUCGGGUCGUAAAACUCUGUUGUUAGGGAAGAACAAGUGCUAGUUGAAUAAGCUGGCACCUUGACGGUACCUAACCAGAAAGCCACGGCUAACUACGUGCCAGCAGCCGCGGUAA